rnacentral:rRNA from 1 species
UACGUAGGUGGCAAGCGUUGUCCGGAUUUACUGGGCGUAAAGAGCGCGCAGGCGGUCGGAUAAGUCGAAUGUGAAAGCCCCUGGCUCAACCAGGGAGGGUCAUUCGAUACUGUUCGACUCGAAGGCAGGAGAGGGAAGUGGAAUUCCCGGUGUAGUGGUGAAAUGCGUAGAUAUCGGGAGGAACACCAGUGGCGAAGGCGACUUCCUGGCCUGUUCUUGACGCUGAGGCGCGAAAGCUAGGGGAGCAAACGGG